AACGAACGCUGGCGGCAGGCUUAACACAUGCAAGUCGAACGCCCCGCAAGGGGAGUGGCAGACGGGUGAGUAACACGUGGGGAUCUGCCCAAUGGUACGGAAUAAUUCCGGGAAACUGGGACUAAUACCGUAUGUGCCCGCAAGGGGAAAGAGUUAUCGCCAUUGGAUGAACCCGCGUCGGAUUAGCUAGUUGGUGAGGUAAAGGCUCACCAAGGCGACGAUCCGUAGCGGGUCUGAGAGGAUGAUCAGCCACACUGGGACUGAGACACGGCCCAGACUCCUACGGGAGGCAGCAGUGGGGAAUAUUGGACAAUGGGCGCAAGCCUGAUCCAGCCAUGCCGCGUGAGUGAUGAAGGCCUUAGGGUUGUAAAGCUCUUUCGCCGACGAAGAUAAUGACGGUAGUCGGAGAAGAAGCCCCGGCUAACUUCGUGCCAGCCGCCGCCGUAAUAC
rnacentral:rRNA from 1 species